GUUUUUGCCAUUUUCUUCAUACCAUAAAAAUGAAAAGUACAUCCCAUCAAUGCAUUUAUCAAGCAAGUAUGCUCCUAUUUCUUACAAAGAACAAUUCCGAAGUGAAAAUCCUAAGAAAUGGAUCUGUGACAAGGAUUUCCAGACUGUAUUACCAUCAUUUGAGCUCUUCUCGAAGUAUGGAAAAUUAUACUCAAAAGCUGGACAGAUUGUAUAAAGAAAACAGAAGAUGAAAUGUAAAACUGAGAUUAAGGUGUGAAGUGAGUGUGAAUAGAAGACCCAACACUGCCUGGAGUCCUGGAUUCUUCCACGUCUGAUGAGUGACCUUGAAUCUCUUAAUCUCUCUAGUUUUCUCUCUCUUAGGUAUCAGAAGAAGAAACUGAAGCCAUCUGCAUUUUAAAACUUAACAGUUCUGAAAGGAAAACACAGAUGAAGAUCCUGUAGGAAAUAUACUUGCUAUGAUUCAAUAAACUAUAAAAUUUUGUAGCUGUAUUCAUGAAUUAAUUAUUGCGUGUAUGUAUUUGAAAUCUCUUAAACAUAUCUUUUCAAAGAAAUACUUAAACUUGAGUCUUUUACCUCUGAGAAUGUCUGUCACAAUCACAGCCCCUGGUGACCAACAGUGCCAUAAAUGGUUCCCCUGAAGUACCCAUAUUCUGACCCCUUCACCCGGGUCGCAAAUGAUGAGACCAGUGUUGGGUACCCAAAUUAAGGGCGACUAACAUGUAAGUAGAAUGAUGAAUGGUUUGAAGUGUAAAUUGUGUGAAAUAGUUCAGCAUAAAAGCUCUGCCCUGAGAAAUAAUGACUGAUUAGACCAAUUAGAAACCCCUCAGACUGUUGAACUUGAGACACACAGACACAACAGACACAGACUAGUGGGUGUGGGAGAAGAAACACAGGCACUCUCAAAUAGAGAAGACAUUUGCAAGUCUC
rnacentral:sRNA from 1 species